rnacentral:lncRNA from 1 species
GGCAGUGGUCAGAGUGAGAUGUCGACAAGGGCCAGUGGUCAGAGUGAGACGUAGAUAGGGCAUGCAAGACGUGCGAUCCAAAUAAAGCGUCCCCUUUAAAUUUGUUGGUUUGAUUAUUUAACUUGGAUAGGGUUAUUUGCCGUGUGUUUUUUGUUGCGUGAUUGAACCUUCUGAGAGUAGGAAUUUCAUAGAUGAAGUGCAUCAACUAUCAAGGGUAGAAAUGUACUAUGAAUUUUGUAGAAAAAUCGAAGCAAAAAUCGCCCUAGCAGUGCAGCCGUUUGCUCGCUGAACGGUCUGCCCCUGGUGGCCUCUACUACGCAGUAGCCCGGCCCCGUUGUCUUGGGUUCGAAGCCCAUCACACAUGUUUCUUCUUUCCUUUGUUUCCCCCGUAUCCCUCGUGAUUAAUGAAAAAUAAUUUCGAAUAUUCAAAAAAAUCUAAUACGAGUGAGAGAAUUGAAAAUAAUUCCCACCUAAAGAUGUACCCUGCCCCUCACACAGGGUCCAUCUGCUAGGCCAAAACUAACUAAAAGUAAGAUUCAUUUCGUCAUCCUCCCUCCGUUGAAAACUGCUUGAUGUGCGUGGAUUGGCCGUGAAAUGCUCUGUGAUGCUGCUGCCUAAAUAAAUUUACAAAAACGCUUCAGGUUGAAUUCUGAGGAGUGAGGACUGCUCUCUACGCUGGACCUAGCUCGAAUCCCUGGUAGAAGGAUGCCCUGCGGUUGGUGGACGAGCGACGAGACGUAGGAGUGCUAUACCGGUCGCCGGUGGUGGGGCCAGGUCUUGAGCAGGGGCGUCCCUCCCGUGUAGUUAAAGGUUGGUGGGGGACUAGGGAGACGAGGUGGUGGUGGGUGGACAGUUCGGGCAGCACGAUGAGACAACAUUGGUCGCACCGGCCACCAACCAUUAUGGGGGGAGGGGCAAGGCAGGCGCAACGCACGUCCGUGGAGGCAUAGUGGUCGGUGGAAGACCACCGCGAGAUCCUCGGAAAAAGUGCAUGUGGGUCAAAGUCCGUGCUAACAAAUGGAUCCGAUAAAAGUGUAUUUAGCCCUGUUUGGACUAUGGACUAUGGACUAAACUUUAGUCCGUAUCAUGUUUGGAUCAAGCUGUUUGAAUUCAGAGAUUAAAGUCCAUUAAUACGGAUGAACAAAGAUGAUAUUAUCUUGUACCCACCUCCUCCCGCCGCUCCCAGAUCAUGGAUAUCGCGGGAAUGUUCCGACCAGCUCUUGACAAGAUCAAGUCUUCCAUCCCUUCCGCCGCUGACUACGACAUCAUCACCCGAGUCCUCACCGGCUCCUUCAACGACAGGACUAGCCUGCUGCUCGGCGCCGAGCUCACCAAGCACCCUGUGCAGGCGGAGGAGGAGCCCGCUCCUCCGGCGCAAGCACAAGAGGCGGUGCCGGCAUCGAUCACGAUCGUCAUCCACACAACUCCGGCGCCGGCAGCGUCGCCCACAUCCCCGUCGCGCAGUUGCUCAUCACGGCAGCAAGCAACGUCUGCUUCUCCCUCUUCGUGCUCGUCAUCACCUCGACCAGGACGACGCGCCCACGGCCAUCACCGCCGCCUCCGUUGUUGCCGCCGCCAACGGGACCUGCGACUCGGAAGUGCCACUCAAUUGCUCCGACCCACGCGUGCUCGCCGUCGUCAAGGCGUUCAACGCUGAGGCCUUCUUUCGCAAGUCCGGGAGGGUGGCGGGAGGUAGGCCAACGGCGGGGGUGGCGGGCAGGAGGGUGGUGGCGCGGCGGCGGCGGGGCCAGGUGGGAGGGCGGCGGGGGCAACGACAACGGUGGCCAGGCGGGAUAGAGGCCGGUGGCGAUGACGAUGGUGGCUGGGCGUGAGGGCAGCGAGGGCCAGGCGGGAAGGCAAUGGGGGCGACGACAUCGGGGGGCGGGCGAGAGGGAGGCUAGCGGUGACAGCAGCGGUGGCCAGGUGGGAGGGCGGCGGGGGCCAGGUGGAGGGGGCCGGGCAGGAGGGAGGUAAUAAAUGAGGGGUAGGGGUGUCUCCAAGACCUUUUAGUCCACUUUAGUCCACCCCUCUUGGAUAGUCCACAUUUUAGUCCACCUGUUUGACACUUUAGGGACUAAAAGGGGCCAAAAUAGGUAGACUAAAGUUUAGUCCAGGUAACCAAAUAGGCCAUUAUUGUUGGAGAAUAAACUUAAACCAUUGUCUUUCUUAAACCGUAAUUCAAAAAAUAUUCCUUUUGAACUACUAUAUUCCUUGCGAUUAUAUCAACGAAACCAUAUCCAUGCUGACAAUCUCAUGCAAUAACUAAUUAUUAUCAUGCUUUUACAACUCACAACUUACAGCAUAAAUAAAUGCUACCAUCGUAAGAGACGUUAUUAGCACACUUGAUUAUUUUUACUCAUGAGAGGCUGAGACGAUUCCCCUACAGGGUCUAACUGGAGGCGGGUGUGUGGGCCGUGCGCACAUGGUAGGGCACGGGUGGAGGACCUAGUGAACAAUGCCGGGCGCGUCUAUGCGUCGCUAAAGGUGACAAAUCCACGGAUGUCGCCUUGAACAAGUGUGCGCGGGCGUGGUCAAUCCACGAGAACUGUUGGUCCAUCCCCACACCGCCGCUACCUUCCUCUUCGAUCAGAUUCGCCGCCACCACCGUACCCUUCCUUCCUCUCCCCUGCUCGCACUCACGCCGCCCUCGAACAUCGUCUCUAGCGACUCCCGCGCAUUGGAAUCAACAGCCCUCCCCCUCCUCCACGCACUAACCCAACUCCGUGGCGACUCCCCCGCCGCCUCCACAGCCUGCAGCCGGUGGCUCUGCCGUCCCGCCCACAACCUGCAGCCGGUGGCUCUGCCGCCCCACCCACAACCCGCUAAUGGCAGCCUUCCUCUAACCGAAGAGAACCCCCGCCCUGUCCUUAGCCCACUAGCUGUCAAGCCACCAACCCCGGCUAGCGGCGUCCCCGCAACCCGCCUCCGCUUCCAGGCUACCCUGCGAGACCCACCCCUUUCUAAGGUCGGCGGCAAUUGGACCUUCCCUGGCACUCCUGCAGCCCCAAACCUGAAGCUCGAAGCCCAAACCCUAGCAGCGCAAGCGACGAGUGAAGGAAGAGGAAGGAGGGAGAGGAAGAAGGAGUGAAGCGCCACAGAUAGGGUUUGGAUGAUGUUGGAGAUCGCCCAAAAACUAAGCAACCUCGAGCGCCGUUCAUAGUCAAAAACCCUUCAACCUCGCAAGUCCUAGACCAAGGAACAAAACUUGGUAAAACCUCGCAACUUGUCAUGAAGGCCAUUCUGUUAAUAAAACUCGUACCCUUGUAUAUUCCUUGUUACUUUAGGGAUUCAAAGCUAACAAAUAUUAGCUGAUGACCGAACUUCAAUCGAGCUAACCCUCGGAUGCUCGGAGCUGGUUUAGAGCACCAAACCAGCACCUUUUCUUCUCUUUACUCAUGAAUGGAACCUAAGUGAAGGCGUCGCGAGGUUACAAGCUCUUGAAGUAUCACAACGAACUAAGCACCAUGAGGUUGGAGAUUUUACCCGGCUCGAGGGUAACGAUACGAGGUUGGAAGAUUGAUCUGGUGCAAAGGUAAAGUCCCGAGGUUAAGAAGAUGAAGGCGAGAGAAACGUGACUACAUGAAUGCGCGAGAAGCGUGACUAGAUGAAGGCGUGAGAAGCGUGAUAGCAUAGAUGAAUCCAACUUGUACAGGUUACCCCAAUGACCUUUAUGUACGGUAUAUUCUAGUAAUGUAGUAGUUGAAAAGGGAUAUUUUCAGAAUGUAAAGUGGCUCACGGGUCACUAUACAAGGGAAGCCCUACCCCUUUAUAAGGGGGACUCAUUGCUUUUGAGAACUUACCAGUGCUAUCUCUUUCUAUUCAUACAUCUGUUGGUGUCGAAUUCCUUUGAGACCAACAGAUGGAGGGAGAAGAAGAAGGCUGGGGAGAGGAGAAGACGGAGUUGACAAGUGAGCCAUCUAAUACGACAGAUAACUCUCCGCAUAAGGGGGUGUUUGGUUGCAGGGACUAAAGUUUAGUCCAUGUCACAUCGAAUGUUUAGAUACUAAUUAGGAGUAUUAAAUAUAGGUUAAUUACAAAAUCAAUUGCAUAAAUGAAGGUUAAUUCGCGGGACGAAUUAAGCUUAAUUAAUCCAUGAUUAGCACAUAUUUACUGCAACAUCACAUGGUCAAAUCAUGGACUAAUUAGACUUAAUAGAUUCGUCUCACGAAUUAGCUUUCAUUUAUGCAAUUAGUUUUAUAAUUAAUCUAUAGUUAAUACUCCUAAUUAGUAACUAAACGAGGACUAAACUUUAAUCUAAAAAGUCACAACGCCUGCCUCCAGCACGUCACAGCAAGACGCCGCCAACUCCAAGCUUCCAAAAAUCCUAGUCACCAUCUCAAAAGGAAAAAAAAAAUCAGUCGCGUAGGUACCGCGACCGUCUGCAAAUUCGCUCACGAAGGUGGCUGCGAGCUAGUACUAGCAGCGGUUUAACACUCUCGGAGGCGGAAGCUUCCUCUGAGACAUGUCGCGCUGUGACGUUUACUGCCUCUAGCUACGCGUGACGAUCGCGCAGUUACAUCCUUCCCCUACAAGAAAAGCAACCCCAUAUAACAUGCCAUUUAGAUUUGUUUAUUAUUAUGGCAGCUCAUGCCGUCACUAAUGAUCUCACUCUCCACUGCCGCUGCCGAGGACCGAUCAGAAAAUGAUCGGCAAGACUCGGGGUUGUUUGUUCCUCGGAUUAAAGUCUAGAUCCUGUCACAUCGAAUAUUUAGAAGAAGACUGGGGAGAGGAGAAGACGGAGUUGACAAGUGAGCCAUCUAAUACGACAGAUAACUCUCCGCAUAAGGGGGUGUUUGGUUGCAGGGACUAAAGUUUAGUCCAUGUCACAUCGAAUGUUUAGAUACUAAUUAGGAGUAUUAAAUAUAGGUUAAUUACAAAAUCAAUUGCAUAAAUGAAGGUUAAUUCGCGGGACGAAUUAAGCUUAAUUAAUCCAUGAUUAGCACAUAUUUACUGUAACAUCACAUGGUCAAAUUAUGGAUUAAUUAUACUUAAUAGAUUCGUCUCACGAAUUAGCCUUCAUUUAUGCAAUUAGUUUUAUAAUUAAUCUAUAGUUAAUACUCCUAAUUAGUAUCUAAACAUUCGAAACUUUAAUCUACAAAGUCACAACGCCUGCCUCCAGCACGUCACAGCAGGACGCCGCCAACUCCAAGCUUCCAAAAAUCCUAGUCACCAUCUCAAAAGGAAAAAAAAAAAUCAGUCACGUAGGUACCGCGACCGUCUGCAAAUUCGCUCACGAAGGUGGCUGCGAGCUAGUACUAGCAGCGGUUUAACACUCUCGGAGGCGGAAGCUUCCUCUGAGACAUGUCGCGCUGUGACGUUUACUACCUGUGACGAUCGCGCAGUUACAUCCUUCCCCUACAAGAAAAGCAACCCCAUAUAACAUGCCAUUUAGAUUUGUUUAUUAUUAUGGCAGUUCAUGCCGUCACUAAUGAUCUCACUCUCCACUGCCGCUGCCCAGGACCGAUCAGAUCGGUCAAGACUCGGGGUGGUUUGUUCCUCGGAGUCGAGAUCGUGUCACAUCGAAUAUUUAGAUACUAAUUAGAAAGAUUAAAUAUGAACUAAUUACAAAAUCAAUUGUAUAGAUGGAGGCUAAUUCACGAGACGAAAUUAUUAAACCUAAUUAGUUCAUGAUUUCAAUUGUAUAGAUGGAGGCUAAUUCACGAGACGAAUUUAUUAAACCUAAUUAGUUCAUGAUUUGACAAUACGACGCAUUAAAAAGGGCUGGCCCGUUAAAAGGACGCUUACUUUGCGAACGAAGUUCAGAAUCAACAUGUGAUGCUACAGUAAAUAUAUGCUAAUCAUAAAUUAAUUAAGCUUAAUAGAUUCAUCUUGCGAAUUAGCCUCCAUCUGUGUAAUUAAUUUUGUAAUUAGUCUUAAACAUUCGAUAUGAUCGGGACUAAAAUUUAGUCCGUGGAACCAAACACCGUCGCAUGGACGAGUAUCACAUUUCUGAUUUCUCUACCAAAUUAAUCCGUCGUCUGUUUGUCCAUUACCAUCGCGAUCUGCCGGUGUUCCAUUCCUGAUCUUUAUAGGAAUACAGUAAUCGCCAUGGAAAUUCCACACCAAUUCCCCCGGCAUCUUGGCCCCAGAGCGGCCAGCAUUUUCCAGAGCUAACGGACAAGCGCCGUGAGGACGAGCAGAGGCGGCGGCUCACUGCGAGUUGGCGACAGGGAUGGCUCAGCUCGUGCCGGUGACUUUUGUGCAGGCCUUUUCAUGGCGACGACCACCGCAGCGCCGGGAGAUAACGUUGUUUUCGUUAUCUGCUCUGAUCUCUCUAUAAGUAGAUAGGGAGCCACGCUUGUUAUCGCCGCACUAACAUAAUCCAUCAGAGCUGCUCCCAAUUACUAACAGGUUUCCCUUGAAGAGAGGCAAGGGCCAGGCGGAGCUCGCCGUGCGUCAGCAAUGGCGGCGGCCGCGGAGGUGGGAGCAGGGGACAAGUACCGGUCCUUCAUCCACGGCGAGAGCGAGAAGGACACCGUGUGGAGGUACGGCGCGCCGCCCAACUACGACGUCGUCAACAAGCUCUUCGAGGCGGAGAGGACGCGGGUGUGGCCCGAGGGAUCCCUGGAGGAGAAGGUGCAGCGGCUGCUCAAGACAUGGGAGAUGGAGCUCGUCCACAAGGUCCGCCCCGAGGACCAGAAGACCGUCAACUCCGAAAAGUACUCCGCCAGCAACAACGGUGAGAUUCAUGAGAUCGAUCACGCUUCCAUUGCCGGCUCCGGGCCGAUCGCCGCCAAAGCUUCCCACUGACGCGCGCCGAUGCCGCCUGCAGGGAUGAAGGCCCUGAGCCGGGCGGAGGUGAUGGCGAUCGGCAGUUACAACCACUUCCUGCGCACCAAGCUCCCGCCGGAGCACCGCAUCUUCGACCCGGACCAGGAGACGCUCGACUCCGCCAUGGCCACGUUCCUCACGGCGUUCCCGAGGGGGUUCGCCAUCGAGGUGCUCGACGUCUACAGCGGCCCGCCCAAGAUCGCCUUCAAGUUCCGGCACUGGGGGUACAUGGAGGGGCCAUUCAAGGGCCACCCGCCGCACGGCCAGCGCGUCGAGUUCAUCGGCGUCUGCAUCUUCCACGUGAGUCCUACUACUUCAGACAGACGAUGCUGCAUUCGAUCGAUGCUGCAUUUGCUCCAAGUUCAGACAGAGCGUGGCCUGAAUUCCUCUGCACCGCUGUGAUGAUGUUUUUAGGUUGACGAGGAGAUGAAGGUGGAGAAGUCGGAGUACUUCUACGAGCGCGGCAACUUCCUGGCCAGCUUCUUGAGCCCGCCCGAUGCUGCGCCAGGUUCAGGUUCAGCAGGUUCAGGAUCGGGAUGCCCCGUGAUGCGUGGGAACUGAAUGUCAGCAUGAGCGUGACAGCAACGUACAGCGUGUGUAUCGCGUCUGCUUCUCAUUGAUAGUGAUAAAUCCAUGUCGCACGAAAUAAGUGUUGAAUAUGAAUAAAGUAGUUUGUUUGUUCUCGUAAGAAAAAGGAGAACUUGUUUUUUGUUUCACGUUUGUCUGGCUCUGGCACGGCUCGUUCGUUACAAUAUCACUUCAAUCGUAUCAUCUCGAGGCAUUAGGCCCCGUUUGCUUGCACUGAUUUAUUUUUAACACCCGUACUCGAGGCAUUAGGUCCUUGGGCACCGUUGGCAUAUCUAAUGGUUUUCAUGUGAAGAUGUCUCAGUUGAUCCGAAGAAAGCUAACGAGCGCGUCUUCCUAUUUGGGGUCUAGCCCUGAGCCAAUUAGGGCUGUCUUUGAGCUAUCACCAGUUUAAAGGUCAAUGGUUUUGAUAUCGACUUCACUUGCCAGCUUGACCUUGGUUGCCCCCGACUUCUUCUCUGGAAUCUUGAGUUCCGUCAGGGAUAAUUUCUUAGAAGCGGUGAAGACUUGCAUCAUUGAAUUUGGGACUUGAGUAGUCGCUACCAGCUCCACAGUUUCUGUGUUGCAGCCGUAUGAUCUUUUCAAGUCUCCGCGUAGGGAGUUGGUCCCGACAUUUUGAGUACUAGGUACACAUAAUGCGGGAUGGCCAUGAACUUGGUAGUGCAGGUCUUCCGAGGAUAGCAUGAUACGAGGUUUCGAAAUCAGCUACCUCAAACCAAAUGUACUCUAUCCGGUAAUGUUCUUUGGUCCCGAAGUUAACUGGCAAAACCACCUGACUAAGAGGUACAGCCGCUUUGCGUGAGACAAUCCCAUAGAACGGAGAGUUCAUCGAGGUGAGCAUAUCCGUAACAUCGAGGCCCAUCUUCCUCAAAGUCUUGGUGAAGAGUACAUUGAGACCACUGCCGCCAUCGAUGAGGACCUUGGUGAGUCAAGAGCCUGCAACUACUGGGUCCAGGACGAUAGGAUAGCGCCCUGGGUCAGAGAAACUAGUCCACUGAUCCUUCCUGGAAAAGAUGAUUGACACCUUGAACCACUUGAGGAACGUAAGCGUUGCUGGUUUGAUGGACAUAAUUUCUCGGAGGGCUAGUUUUUGGGACCGCUUAGUAGCAGUACCCAAUGUGCCACCGAAGAUGACGUUGAUAGUGUUGGACAGGUUCUGGAAUUUUUGCAGUUGUCGCCAUCAUCUUCGUCUUCUUUGGCUUUGCCCUUGCCCUUUUCUUCAGAAGGUUCUGGAAUAUCUUUCAUGACUCUGCGUAGGCUAUAGCAAUCCAUCACAAAGUGUUUAGAAUGUGGGUGCCAUAGGCACUGCUUUUUCAGGAGCUCUUUGAAUGGAGUCAUUUCCUAAUUUCUGCCGCCUUUCUUGGAAGUCUAGGACAUCGCCGUGGUAGUAUAGUCUGGCUUUCUUUUGCGAUUUUGACCACCCGAGUAGUUGCCUCGGUUGUCAUUAUUGGGUCGAUCAUUACAGUUCUUGUAGUUGCACUGGCCAUUACUUUGAUUAUUGUUGUUCUGGCCUCUGUUACGACUAGACUGAAACCUCUUAAUCUCUUUGUCUUGUUUAUCCGCCCAGGCUUGUAUCAUGAUCUUGAGAGAUUUGAUAUCUUUCGGGCAUCUCCUACCAAAAUCUUGAAACAUCCAGUGGUUGUAGAGACCAUUCUGGAAGCCAUCUAUGGCGUCUCGCUCCGUGAUGUCCAUGAUAGUUGCUUUCUUGUUGAAGAAACAGCGUAGAUAGCUACGCAGGGUCUCGCCUUGUUGCUAUUUGACUUGAGAGAAGUCGAUCCUGUUGCCAGGAAUCUGCACUGCCCCUGUGAGUUGUUUGUGAACGCCACCUUGAAAUGAUUCCACGUGUCGAUGGAGUUCCUUUCAAGGGACUCGAGCUAUGUGAGUGGUCCUGCCUCCAUGCAGAUGGGGAAGUAGAUGACCUUGGUGUCGUCGUUUCCUCCCACCGCUUGAACCGACAAAGAGUAGCACCGCAACCAUUGGACUGGGUCCUGCUUGCCGUCGUACUUGGUGAUACUCGGAGGUUUGAAUUUGUCGGGUAGAACCGUCUUUCGUACUCAUUUUGAGAAGGCGAGGAACCUGUCAAAAUCUUCUUUGAGGUACUCGACUUCUUGUUCGCGCUCGCGGCAGUGCCCUUCAAUGAUUGUACAAGCAUCGCGGCUAUUGUUGAUCUUCUGACAGAGGUCACGUACUGGAGGCUCAGGCUCUAGGUGGGGCCCACAGUGGCCACGGCCUCCCGAGAGUUCCACCCGACUACCCUGUGCCCUAUUUUGGCUUGGUCUGGCACCCUCAAUUCCGGGACACUCGUUUUGUAGCACCCUCAUUUUGACUUGGUCUAUGGCUACUGCCAUGCUGGGAUGAGGUGUGUCGAACUGAGUGGAUUGGGCUUUGUUGAUCAAGUUGCUCGUACGCAUGCUCCGCUAGUUGAGCGAGUUGUCUAGUGUACUUGUUUUGUGGUAUUGCCCGAGUAAUCAGGUCAAUGGAUGCGAUGGUGGUGAGAGGAGUAUGGUGUUGAUACGUCUGAACUGCUUUAAAUGCGUGAUCCAAGUUCAUGAUGGGUAGGUCAGCUGCAAGGCGGCGGCGACGAUCUACUCGUGCAGCGUUUCUUGCUCGACGUUGAUUCCUUUGAGCUUCAAUUUCUUCUCCUUCUAUGUUGGUGGCGAGUUCAUCCUGCGAGACAUCGUCUGGGCUACGUUCGUGUUGCGGAUUUCUUUCUGAUGGUUCUUCACCUUCACCUUCUUGUGCAGCAAUGAUGGCGAGGAGUUCACGUUCCGGAGAAAAACUACCCGAACUUGAUGUGAUGACCUCUGUGGAGCCGUCUUCUUCAUAGAUGGGCGAUAGAGGGUUUCCCUUCUCAUACGGGAGGUUGUCAAUGUAGGUGACAAAGCGUGACUCGUCGUCCCUAGCGAGAGCAUGUGGCUUCAUGUUGGGCCAGUAGAUAGAUCUGCCUUUUGGAGUAGAUGUCAUGACCAUGUCCUAUUGUGGACUUGAUAAUGGAGUCUCCUCAUCUAGAUCUGAGUAGUAGUCGAGGUCCUUGAUCAAAUCCGAGUUGAAUUGUGAUCUGAGCAGGGUGUCUUGGUAGACAGCCCCCAAGUUUCAGAGUUCGAAUAGGAAUCGACUUGUAUCAUAGACCGAUCCGCAUGAUGGCUUAGGCACCAACUCCAUCGUAAACCACACCGUCCUACACCGUAGUCUCCAUGUCUAACAUGUCUCGGUGUACAACUUCGUAUCUAGGAUUGUCCAAACCUUCUAGUGGGCCCAUAGAUGUAUGGACGACACCGGCAACAACGACGGAAGUCCCUUGCGAUGCGGGGCCAGGGCGCGCGCAAAGCGGCGAGGUCGGCAUCCCAGCGGCGUGGUGGCUCAAUGCACCUCUGCCUUCUGCUCCUCGUCACCCCUCUACCUCCCCGAUUAGCUGGCGGGGGCCUGCUGCCGAUGCGGUGGUGGAUGGCGAGGCUGCGGUGGUAGGGCUGCAGGGACCACUACGGUGAGCGGGGCACGGCAGGAGCUGGGCUAAGGUAGCGGAGCGCGCGGGCUUGCACGGUGCGGGGCCGGUAGUGGCCGGCAACUACAACGGCAAGAGCGAGGAUUGGGAAGAAGACGAGGUGCAGCGCCAGCGGAGCAGAGCCCGAGGAUCUUUGCCUGGGUAGCAUGUUGGCAAGCAUCUUGCCUACCAGCUCAGCGCGCCCACGCGACCUGCGCUCGUCCUCCAACUCCGAGUUCUUUCUCAUGUGUUCUUCCUAAUUCCUGCUUGUUCAUUUUUUGGGUUUCUUAUUUUUACUCGUUACCAAUGGAGCUUUCUUGUUUUGUCAAAAUCGGGUGGUGUGGCAUCAUUCCUGUUGUUCCCUCUCCUUCCCGUUCUUUUUCUUCUUGAUUUUUUUUGGUGUUGGAACUAUCAAAUUUUUUUUAGCAAAGUACAUCCGUGUAUAAGUUCAAUGUUGUGCUGCUAAAUGGUUCAAGUUUUAUUUGAUAUCUGAUGCCUAAGCUAGGUUUGUACAUUGAAAGAAACAUGAGCAGGGGAUGAACAAGCAGGGUACAUGAAGUGUACAUAGCAAUGGGCAUGGCAAUUAUCCACUCGACUGAUUGUAUAGUCCAACUAGGUACACUAGCAGUGCAACAAUGUACAUGGACAGAUGACGGUGCGGGUGAACGUUGGAAUAUGUUAAAAUAAUGAUAUGUAGUACAUAAAGCUGCAGCGUGCCAUGUGAAGGUGGGAGGUAGGCACCAGAAAGGAAGAGGAGGAGGAAAGUCAAAAAGGCGCUUGGCAUGCUGAGGCGGGUACAGUUGCAUGGGUCCCAACUCAGCUUUAUGUCAGCGUAAAGUAGCUUUAUGUCCACCUCAAACAAAGGCAAAUGUACUUUAUGUCACAUCAUCCCAUACCACUGUCCCCAAUACAGGUCGGGAAAAAAUGAAAUACACCCGAGAAUACAUUCACUAGAGACAAAACAUCACAGAUCUCGGUACAGAUCGACAUUCCCGAUAAUGGUUGUCAUGCCUGCAAGGUGUACCGUCCAUUUUCCAUUUCUCCUCAUGUUGAAACACCCAGUGUGUGCCUUGUUUAAGCCUCUGAAUGUGGUUUUUUAACUUCUCCUACCAUUGAUCUUCCUGUGAAAAUAUUUAGUGUUGGUGUCGCCCAACUUGAGAUUGGUGAUGCGAUGCUUGUCUUCUCCUUGCUCGUUCGACAACCACAAGGCCGAGGAUUCGUCUCUUUAGUUUUUAGCAUAGGUUUGUUUCCUCCACGGUGAGGGCUCUAUGCUCAUGGGCCAUGUCCAAUCUGAGGACCACGUCUGAGGACCACAUCGGAUGCCAUGAGGAGUUGCAUCUUGGCGUCUAGGUAGAAAUUAUGGCUCCUGGCUUUGAGCAUGUUGGAAGUUUUGAGGAGCUUGUGGUAUAAGCGGUGGUGUCGGUAUUUUAUACCUAGCAACCUACUGAGGGGUAUCUCGAGAUAGUAGAUUGGUUGGUGGGGGAUCAUCGGACCUGGAACUCGAAGGUAAAAGCGAGGAUACAAGACACAGAUUUAUACAGGUUCGGUCUGCCAGAGUAGCGUAUUACCCUAUGUCCUGUUUGGGGUGUUGUAUAUUGCGCCAUGUGCUUGGGUGUUGUUUGGUGUUGAGGAUUUGGUCCUCUGUUGUGGUUCUAUGAGGUCUUCGCCUACCAAUCUAGGGACCCCUGCCCUCAUUUAUAUACUUCAGGGGGCGGGAUUACUAGUCGGUUACAAGGAGGAGUCCUAGUAGGAUUACAAGGUAUGAGUCCUAGUAGAAUUACAGGGGAAUCCUAGUAGGAGUCCAUCUUCUUCCUUUCUUGUGGAUACUGGAGAUCUUUCCCCAACAAGCCCCCGAGUGCUUCAUAAACCAAUGUAGCAAUCUUCGAGUACUUUUCAGAUCCUCGCCGAGUAGUUUUUGUGCUCGUCGAGUACUUUGUCUGGCUGAAUCUUCAAAGUUCCUCAAAGCUAUCAUGAGGCUAUGGUGUGCUCAAGCCCUUGAUCGUCUUGAUUUUGUAAUCUUCUUCCUUGCUGAUAUAGAGGGUGGCGGAAGUCACAGUCCAUAUAGAGUAGGCCCCAAGCCUUAGGUUGAAUCGAAGAAUCGGGCUGAGGGUAUAUUAAAUCUUGAAUCUUCUUCUUUCGUCUUGAAAAAAUCAACUGCUGUGUGUAGUUUAUCAGCUCCCAAGCCUUGGAAUGAUUAAAUAAUCAUCUUUAGUCUUCACGCCAGUCGUCUUUCGAGUAGUCAUUUGGCAUCCAGCUUUCGAGCUUAUGCGCCAGGUGAGCUGUAGUAAUUGGUGCUUAUUUAGCGCUUAGCCCCCGAGCUAGGAAGCUAGCUUAGCCAUUGGAGAUAUUCCGAGUAGUAAUUGGUGCUUAGCCCCCGAGCUUUGGAGCUAGAGCCAUUGGAGGUACACUGAGCAUCCUGGAGAGUCGUCGUCGAAGCUUGACCUGCAAAAAGAGAUGUAUACAUUAUGUAGCAUAUUUGUAGAAUUUGGAACUAUUGAAAUUUAUUUAGUGAUGGAUAUAAUAUAAAUAUUGUGUGUCAUACUCUUGUUUCUUCCAUAUUUCUCUCAAGUAGUUAGCCUACUAUGUUUAGACUCUCAGUCCCUGUUUAGCCAUUGCCACUGUGUGUGAGAUAUUUAUCUCGUGUACGUGUACUGGCGCUGCUACUACGCAAAUCUUUGUCCCGCGUCCUAACAUUUAGGCAUGAUAGAAGAUCCAAGACUUUCACGAAUUGAGGCGUGUUCUGCUUAAGGAUAUUAGUGACCGCUAAGAGAAAAACAUUGAAAAUAAGUAGUCAGCGUUACGACAAAAACGAGCGUGAUUGCGUGUAAAGUAGUCAUUGAGACUUUUCUACCUUUUGGCGAGGAAAGCGCGUAUUUGUCGUGCAUAGGAUUUGUGCCUCACUAGAGUGUAGCCAUUGUGAGCCUCCAGCACUCGAUGCACCAAACUUCAUGGAAGAGCCUCCUAAUUCGGUGUACCAAGCCUGUGGUGGAGCUUCCGAAACUCAGUGCACCAAAUCUGAGGUGAUAGCCUCCGUAAUUCGGUGUACCAAGCCCAUGGCUGUCGGUCAACAUGCCCCAAGAGUAGUCGGUGAAGUGUAACUUUGAAGGGUAAUUCUCGUCAAGAGGCAUACACAAAUAAGUACUUGGUGUGUUGCCCUAUAUGCGGAAAACAAGCUGAAAAAAUUAUAUAAAAUAAUGAAAAAAGUGACUUAGCUUCAUUCAUGGACGAUUGUCGAUGAAGACGCGAUGGUUGCUGAUGAAGCUGACUAGUCGGAGUUGCUUUCGACUAGUUGUCGAUGGUAUGAGGCCCGCCCUCAACUAGUUUUCUAGUCGAGACGAGUAGUUGAAGUAGUUGUUAGCGAGCCGGCGUAGACGUCUUGCUCUUGCAGAAGUAGUCGAUCGCGUCAUUGAAGAUUUGUUUGUGUUGCCACGCAAGCUGAAGUCCUUCUGGUAGCUUUUUUGGUGUGCGCAUAGCUGAAUACACCAUUGAUUUUCAGCGUCAGAGGGAACAGUGGCAGCUGUUUCUUUAUUUUGAUGCUUGGUGUGCUUUUCUGUCUCCGAUCAACAAAGCUGGUCUCCACUUUGGACUCAACUAAGGAAAUUAAUUCCCUGUAGGAUUCCGUCUUGAUGUUGUUCAAUUCUAUUCCAUCUCGAUCUUGAUGCUUGGAGAUGAUCAACGGCUGGUGAAUUGCUCCACUCCGCAAUUCCAAUUCGGUGAGAACAAAUGCUAGUUUGGAAUUAGCUUAUCCGGCAACUUCGUCUCAAAUUCUGACGCAGUUGCACACCGAGUCGUUGAUUGGAUGGGAGAAUAGCGUUCUUGUCUUGUAGAGUAGAUUGAUCUUGAUGAGGUCCUUCAAACUUGUCCGAUGAUCUCGACGAUCACUCCUACCUGGCACGCCAGAUGUCGGUAUUUUAUACCCGACAACCUACCGAGGGGUAUCCCGAGGUAGUAGAUUGGUUGGUGGGGGAUUGCCGAACCUGAAACUCGAAGGUAAAAGCGAGGACACAAGACACAGAUUUAUACAGGUUCGGGCCGCUAGGACACAAGACAUAGAUUUAUACAGGUUCGGACCGCCAGAGUAGCGUAUUACCCUACGUCUUGUUUGGGGUGUUAUAUAUUGCGCCAUGCGCUUGGGUGUUGUUUGGUGUUGAGGAUUUAGUCCUCUGUUGUGGUUCUAUGAGGUCUUCGCCUACCGAUCUAGGGACCCUGUCCUACUUUGUAUACUCCAGGGGGCGGAAUUACUAGUCGGUUACAAGGAGUCCUAGUAGAAUUACAAGGUAUCAGUCCUAGUAGGAUUACAGGGGAAUACUAGUAGGAGUCCAUCUUCUUUCUUCCUUACGGGUAUUGGGGAUAUAUCCCCGAUAGGUGGAAAGGCUUGUGAUGAGCGCAGGGCUUGUUCCAUGUUUCUGCUACAACUUCCCUGAAGCGAGGGAGUUUCAGCCAGUAAUCCUCGAAUCUAAACAUGCGUGGUCGCCAUGGGUCAUUUUGAUUUGAUAAGAGAAGUGGGCAGUGGUCAGAGUGAGAUGUCGACAGGGGCAAUGGUCAGAGUGAGACGUCGAUAGGGCAUGCAAGACGUGCAAUCCAAAUAAAGCGUCCCCUUUAAAUUUGUUGGUUUGAUUAUUUAACUUGGAUAGGGUCAUUUGCCGUGUGUUUUUUGUUGCGUGAUUGAACCUUCUGAGAGUAGGAAUUUCAUAGAUGAAGUGCAUCAACUAUCAAGGGUAGAAAUGUACUAUGAAUUUUGUAGAAAAAUCGAAGCAAAAAUCGCCCUAGCAGUGCAGCCGUUUGCUCGCUGAACGGUCUGCCCCUGGUGGCCUCUACUACGCAGUAGCCCUGCCCCGUUGUCUUGGGUUCGAAGCCCAUCACACAUGUUUCUUCUUUCCUUUGUUUCCCCCGUAUCCCUCAUGAUUAAUGAAAAAUAAUUUCAAAUAUUCAAAAAAAUCUAAUACGAGCGAGAGAAUUGAAAAUAAUUCCCACCUAAAGAUGUACCCUGCCCCUCACACAGGGUCCAUCUGGUAGGCCAAAACUAACUAAAAGUGAGAUUGAUUUCGU